UACGUAGGUGGCAAGCGUUGUCCGGAAUUAUUGGGCGUAAAGGGUAGGUAGGCGGUCUCAUUUGUCUGGGGUGAAAGCCUUGAGCUUAACUCAAGAAGUGCCCCGGAAACGGUGAGACUGGAGUCCUGGAGAGGGUCGUGGAAUUCCCGGUGUAGCGGUGAAAUGCGUAGAGAUCGGGAGGAACACCAGUGGCGAAGGCGGCUACCUGGACCAGCACUGACACUGAGGCACGAAAGCGUGGGGAGCAAACAGG
rnacentral:rRNA from 1 species